GGUCAUUCUUGACCUUAGAGGAGAAACAUCAUUCAUUCCACUCUGCAAAUAUAGUCACACUCAGAGGCCACACAGAUACUCCAAGAUUCAGACACAAGCCUGAGACACAAACUCAAAAACACACCUGGGGGUACACCCAGGCUCACUCUGUCACACACACACCGAGACACACACACACACACAAACACUGACACACACAGACACACACACGCAGAGACACACACAGACACUGACACACACACAGAGACACACAGACACUGACACACACAGACACACAGACACUGACACACACACAUGCAGAGACACACAGACACACACUGACACACAGAGACACACACACAGACGCUGACACACACAGACACUAACACACAUAGACACUGACACACACAAGCAGAGACACACACACAGACACACACACUGACACAGAGACACACACUGACAUACACAGAGACACACACACACUCUGCCUAGGGACAGCUGAGGAGUGUGUGAGACUCAAGGACCCUCAGGACACAAGGGCAGAUGUGUGUGGACGCUGUGGGCAGACCUCACCAGAUGCCUGGAGACUCAAACACCCUGAAGGCGAGCCCCACCCCUUCAUGGACACACACAGGCACAGAUGCCCAGAGACCACCAGCUGUGGGGCUUGUGGGGAGGGUCGGACCCUCCGGUCACACCCGGAGGCCGAGGUGGGGGAAGCUUGGGGGUGGAGCUGCCCAUGCUGCCUGCUCUGCCCCUUCCCCCAGCACCAGCCCAAUGUCCCUGAAUCCCCCUGAAGUGGACGGACAAGCUC
rnacentral:lncRNA from 1 species